UUAUCGGAGAGUUUGAUCCUGGCUCAGGACGAACGCUGGCGGCGUGCCUAAUACAUGCAAGUCGAGCGGACAGAUGGGAGCUUGCUCCCUGAUGUUAGCGGCGGACGGGUGAGUAACACGUGGGUAACCUGCCUGUAAGACUGGGAUA
rnacentral:rRNA from 1 species